rnacentral:rRNA from 1 species
UACAGAGGGUGCGAGCGUUGUCCGGAAUCACUGGGCGUAAAGGGCGCGUAGGCGGCUUCUCGCGCGUGCGGUGAAAGCCCGGGGCUCAACUCCGGGUCGGCCGUGCGGACGGGGAGGCUGGAGUCUGGUAGAGGCCGAUGGAAUUCCGGGUGUAGCGGUGGAAUGCGUAGAGAUCCGGAAGAACACCAGUGGCGAAGGCGGUCGGCUGGGCCAGCAUCUUGGAUGGUCGGGGCAACCCGAUACUGACGCUGAGGCGCGACAGCGUGGGGAGCAAACAGG